GACGAACGCUGGCGGCGUGCCUAAUACAUGCAAGUAGAACGCUGAAGAGCGGAGCUUGCUCUUCUUGGAUGAGUUGCGAACGGGUGAGUAACGCGUAGGUAACCUGCCUUGUAGCGGGGGAUAACUAUUGGAAACGAUAGCUAAUACCGCAUAACAAUGGAUGACACAUGUCAUUUAUUUGAAAGGGGCAAUUGCUCCACUCCAAGAUGGACCUGCGUUGUAUUAUCUAGUAGGUGAGGUAAUGGCUCACCUAGGCGACGGUACAUAGCCGGCCUGAGAGGGUGAUAGGCCACAAUGGGACUGAGACACGGCCCAGACUCCUACGGGAGGCAGCAGUAGGGAAUCGUCGGCAAUGGGGGCAAACCUGACCGAGCAACGCCGCGUGAGUGAAGAAGGGUUUCGGAUCGUAAAGCUCUGUUGUAAGGAAAGAACGGGUGGGAGAGUGGAAAGUUCACAAUGUGACGGUAGCUUACCAGAAAGGGACGGCUAACUACGUG
rnacentral:rRNA from 1 species